AGUGUUUGACAGCCAGGUCUUGGAAAGGAAGGCCAACAUGCCCUGGGCUGAUCAGACUCCAUCAUGUUGACUCCUGGGAGGCACAUUUUUGAGAAACAAUUAGGAACCAGGAAGCAUUCUGAGGAGGAAAGCCAGGAUAAAGAAGACUCAGAUAAAAAAGUCAUCCCACCAGGUCUGGAUGCAGUGUGACUGUAUCAGUCAGCUUUUGCUGGGUUAUGCCAAGUAACAAACAGGGAUUCAGGCUGAAAGAUCAGCUAUGAAACUGCUGGUUUUGAGGCACAGGAAAAAGAGUGAUGGCAGAACUGAGAAAUGACUUUAAAGCCUCUGCUCAGAAGUGGCUUAUAUCCCUCUGUUCACAUUUUAUUGGCCACAGAGAAUCACAUGAUCAAAUAUGUCUUCAGACUUGAUGGGCUUAGGGAGAUACCAUGCUCCCACAGGGAGGGGUGGUAACUAUUUGGCCAGCACAGAGUAGAUACCAACAGUUAUUAAACUGUUUGUUGAAUGAAUGAAUAGAUGAAUUCUCUGAUCCUGGAAGGAUUUAAAUAAAGAAUGGAUGACCAUUUGUAUUACCUAUC
rnacentral:lncRNA from 1 species